GCCCUAAAUACACAAUGAAAACAGGCCGGGGGUUUCUUAGUGCCCUGUAAUCGCCAGGUCGCUUCGGAGAGCGUUUCAGCGCUGCCUGCGCACCCAGGGCUGGCAAGAGGAGGCGAUUGCCUUGGGCUUAGGGAACAGCAUUACGUGGAGUGACAGUUCACCAUGGGAGCGGCUAUGCUGUGGGCUGUGAUAGCCGCAGGCCCUGGGCUGUGCAACAGAGCCGGCUCUCUCCCCCGCCCCUGAGCCACGUAGUUACAGGAACAUAAGUUUGCAGUGGCGAGAGCAGGUGUGCACGGGCGGGAAAGCCCGGACACAUCUGUGCUCUGCUCCUGAGACCAGCCAAGCGCGCUCGCGCUCCCUCCCCCGUCCAGCCCCUUCCCGGGCUAGGGACGCCUCGGCCAGCUUUUCCCGGGGCCUCUCCGGUCUGGGGAGCCCGGCUCCAGGCAGGCGCUGGCCGGGGCUGAGGAUUCGGCCUCCUAGCGGCAGCAGCGACACCUCCCGCCGCCUGCCGGAGCCCGGCUGCACCGCAGGGACCUGCCCGCGGGGGAGGAGGCAGCGGCACAAGCGGACGUGUCUCCGUCAUGGAGCUGAGCGUGAUUCAUCAACAGCAGCAGCAGCGCGCCCGGGGCAGGAUGCUGCGCGCCGUCCCCGCUUAGAGCCGGGCAAGGGGCGACAGCCGCUCUGCUCUGCCCUGCCCUCCGCAGCCGCGUCUCCGUGCCGCGGAGCGCAGCGUCCCUCGGGGAGCCAAGAUGGAAGAAAUCCUGAGGAAGCUGCAGAAGGAAGCGUCGGGGAACAAACACAAAGCGAUCAAGGAGAGCUGCGGCUGGGCCAUUGAAACUUUGGAAUCUUCUGAUGCUGCUGCUACCAAGAUCCCUCCAUAUCAGCUGCGGGAGAAGUGUCUCUUCCCACUGCAGCUGGCUUUGGAAUCAAAGAACGUGAAGUUGGCCCAACAUGCUUUAGCAGGGAUGCAGAAGCUGCUGUCUGAUGAGAGAUUUGUAUCCGUGGAAACAGGCUCAGAUGAGAAGCAGCUACUAAAUCAGAUGCUGAAUGCUGUCAAAGUGACUCCUUCCCUGAACGAAGACCUGCAGGUAGAAGUGAUGAAGGUUUUGCUCUGUAUCACGUACACCUCCACAUUUGACCUGAAUGGAAGUUCAGUGCUAAAGAUUGCUGAGCUGUGUUUUGCAUGUCACAAAGCUGGAAGCCCCCAAAUGCAUGAAAUGAUCAAAGUGUCCAUUGCACACCUCUUCAGUGCCCUGUGCUCUCGCAUUUUUACUGGUGCAUCCCCACCAAUGACAUUUCACAAGGUUUGCAUUGAGACAUAUGUAUCUAGCUGUCACCAGCGGAGUAUUAACACCGCUGUGCGGGCAACCCUCAGCCAAAUGUUGAGUGACUUGACUUUACAGUUACGACAAAAGCAAGAGAAUACGACAACUGAAAAACAUGAAGCCUUGCAAGAGUUAAAGAGCCAAGGUUCUACAGUAGAGUCCCUUUGCGACGAUGUUGUGUCUGUCCUCACUGUGCUCUGUGAGAAGCUUCAGGCUGUUAUAAAUGAAAAUCAGCAACUGCAGCUUCUCUACCUGGAGUGUAUUCUCUCAAUGCUAAAUAGUUCCUCUCCCAGCAUGCACAAUCACAGAGGAUUCACUGACCUUAUUUGGAAGCAAUUGUGUCCAGCCCUUGUAGUAAUCCUGGGAAAUCCAAUCCAUGACAAAACAAUCACCUCUGCCCACAGUAGCAUCUGUCUCGAGGCCAAUUCGCCCUCUUCAGGGGUCGCUGAUCAUGGCCGAGGGUCAGGUUGCUCCUCCACAGCACCUGCCCUCAGUGGCCCCGUUGCUCGGACCAUAUAUUACAUUGCUGCGGAACUGGUUCGAUUGGUGGGGUCAGUAGAAUCCAUGAAACCUGUGCUCCAGUCACUCUAUCACCGGAUGCUGCUGUAUCCCCCACCCCAGCACCGAGUGGAAGCCAUCAAGAUCAUGAAAGAGAUACUAGGUAGUCCACGACGGCUCUGUGAUUUGGCAGGACCCUGCUCCUCUGAACCAGAAUCCAGAAAGAGGUCAAUCUCGAAAAGGAAGUCCCAUCUGGAUCUUCUCAAACUUGUCAUGGAUGGGAUGACUGAAGCUUGCAUAAAAGGUGGUAUUGAAGCAUGUUAUGCCUCCGUUUCUUGUGUCUGUGCCCUGCUCGGGGCAUUAGAUGAACUAAGCCAAGGGAAAGGCCUUAAUGAGGAACAAGUCCACCUGCUACUCCGACGCCUGGAAGAAUUGAGGGAUGGGGCUGAGACAAGCCGAGACUCCAUGGAGAUCAACGAUGCUGACUUUAGGUGGCAAAGGCGCAUCCUGUCAUCGGAACAUACCCCCUGGGAAUCGAGAAAUGAGAAGAGUCCUGACAUUAGCAUUAGUGUUACCACAGAUACUGGUCAAACUACUUUGGAGGGAGAUAUGGGGCAGACUACUCCGGAGGAUAAUCCCGAAGAUCAAAAAAACUCUCUGCAGUCUCCAGCUGGCCAAGACUUUAAAGUGAUUGGGUGUAAAGAGCCAGAAUCAGAAACAAUAGAGCAGCCAGAUGUGGUUCAAAGGAGUCACACCAUCGUUUAUCCAGAUAUAACUAACUUCCUGUCGGUUGAUUGCAGGACACGGUCCUAUGGAUCCAGAUAUAGUGAAAGUAACUUCAGCGUUGAUGACCAAGAUCUUUCUAGGACUGAAUUUGACUCAUGUGAUCAAUAUUCCAUGGCAGCAGAGAAAGACUCUGGGAGGUCAGAUGUCUCAGACAUAGGGUCUGAUAACUGUUCCCUGGCUGACGAAGAGCAGACCCCAAGGGACUGUCCAGGUCAUAAGUCCUUGCGUACCGCUGCUCUCUCUUUGAAAUUACUGAAGAACCAAGAAGCAGACCAGCACAGUGCCCAGCUGUUUGUCCAGUCCCUUGAAGCGCUUCUUCCUCGGCUUAUAACACUCCAUAGUGUAGAGGAGGUGGAUUCAGCGCUCCAGAAUUUUUCCUCGACCUUCUGCUCAGUUAUUCACCUUAUCCACGCCCCCAAAGUGACGUCAAUGGAAAGUCCAAGGAGGCAGCAGCACAGAACUUUCAAACCCUCACGAGAUAUGAUGUUCUCGCCAGGAUUUGAGGGGAACCCCAAUUUCAGCUUCCAGACUCUGAUGAAUGCAGACAGUAUCUACAUGGUCUCGCACUACACCCUUCUUCUCAACCUGAAGUUAUCCAACUCUGACUACUACAGGAAGAAACCUGCCCAAGCACCUGUGUUGCUGAAGGAGUUUAUGAAGCAGGUUCAGGCCAGUGGAGUAUUGAUGGUAUUCUCUCAAGCGUGGGUUGAGGAGCUCUACCAUCAGGUACUGGAAAGGAACAUCCUGGGAGAGGCUGGUUACUGGGGAAACCCUGAGGAGCACCGUCUUCCGCUCAUCACCAUGUUGACUGACAUUGAUGGCUUGGGGAGCAGUGCUAUAGGUGGGCAGCUGAUGGCAUCUGCAUCAACACAAUCUCCUCUCACCCAGAACCAGAAGACCGAUGAUUCUGUUGUGGCAGGUGUUGCUUUUGCCCGAUACCUUCUGAUCGGUUGCUGGAAGAAUUUGAUUGAUACCUUAUCCACACCUUUGACUGGUCGAAUGGCAGGAAGCUCCAAAGGGUUAGCAUUCAUCCUGGGAGCUGAAGGAGUCAAGGAGCAGAACCAGAAGGAGAGAGAUUCCAUUUGUAUGAGCCUGGAUGGACUGAGGAAGGCAGCCCGGCUGAGCUGUGCUCUAGGGGUUGCUGCUAAUUGUGCAUCUGCCCUUGCCCAAAUGGCUGCUGCCUCCUGUGUUCAAGAAGAGAAGGAGGAAAGAGACGCCCAAGAGCCCAGUGAUGCUAUAACUCAAGUGAAACAGAAAAUGGAGCAGAAGCUGGAACAGAUGGGGAAAGUGCAGGGAGUCUGCCUGCACCCUGCUCAUGUUUUGUGCAUGGAUGCCAUCCUCAAUGUGGGCCUGGAAAUGGGAAGCCACAAUCAAGACUGUUGGCCACAUGUGUUCAGGGUGUGUGAAUACAUCAGCACUCUGGAGCACACCCAUUUCAGCGAUGGCGCAUCUCAGCCCCCUCUCACUAUAACCCAAUCGCAGCAGGCCACAGGAGGGUUGCAGGUGGAUUAUCCGUCUACAAACUCUCCCCAGGAACUGACCCCUGAGCAGGAGACCACCCUGAGCAACAAUCCUGUCAUCCAGCCCGUCUCCAUCCAGGACCUCAUCAAGGAGGGUAGCAAGGGCAGAGCUUUCGACUUCCGUGGAGGCAGCCUGCUAAGUGGAAGCAAUGCCGCCAAGGCUGUCCUCAUCCUCUCCACACAGGCUGACAGGCUAUUUGAAGAUGCUGCUCACAAGCUAAACCUGAUGGCACUGGGUGGCUUCCUAUACCAGCUCAAAAAAGCUUCUCAGUCCCAGCUCUUCUACUCAGUCACAGAUACAGUUGAUUACUCCUUAGCAAUGCCAGGUGAAGUAAAGUCUACCCAGGACAGGAGAAGCGCACUCCAUUUGUUUCGUCUUGGGGACGCGAUGCUCCGGAUUGUACGGAGUAAAUCCCGUCCAUUGCUCCACCUCAUGCGCUGCUGGAGCCUGGUGGCACCUCAUCUUGUAGAGGCUGCCUGUCAUAAGGAGAGACAUGUUUCUCGGAAGGCCGUCUCCUUCAUCCAUGACAUCCUCACCGAGGUGCUGACAGACUGGAAUGAGCCCCCUCAUUUUCACUUCAGUGAGGCGCUGUUCCGCCCCUUUGAGCGCAUCAUGCAGCUGGAGCUGUGUGAUGAGGAUGUCCAGGACCAGGUGAUCACGUCUAUAGGAGAGCUGGUGGAGGUGUGUUCCAUUCAGAUCCAGUCCGGGUGGAGGCCCUUGUUCAGUGCACUGGAAACAGUGCACAGCAGUAGCAAGUCAGAGCUUAAGGAGUACCUCGUUGGAGAGUAUUCUAUGGGGAAAUGCCAGGCUCCAGUUUUUGAUGUUUUUGAAGCAUUUCUCAACACAGACAACAUCCAGGUCUUUGCCAAUGCCGCCACUAGUUACAUUAUGUGCCUUAUGAAGUUUGUCAAAGGACUUGGAGAAGUGGAUUGUAAGGAGAUUGGUGAUUGUGUGUCAGGAUCUGUGUCUACAGACUUGUGCCUUCCCGCUCUUGAUUACCUCAGGAGGUGUUCUCAGUUGCUAGCCAAAAUCUACAAAAUGCCCUUGAAGCCAAUUUUCCUCAGUGGCCGGCUGGCCAACUUACCCCGAAGAGUGCAGGAGCGAUCAGCCAGCAGUGAGGAUGGGAUUGAGUGUGUCCUUUCUGACUUUGAGGAUGACUCUGGCCUUAUCAAUGUCUGGAUCAUUCUGCUGGAAGAAUUAACUACUGCUAUAUCCAACUGUCCCCGCCAGCACCAGCCACCCACCCUGGAUUUACUCUUUGAGCUGCUGAGAGAUGUUGCCAAAAUUCCUGGCCCAGGAUUUGGCAUUUAUGCAGUUGUACAUCUUCUACUCCCCACAAUGUCCCUCUGGCUCCAUCGUAGCCAUGGUGACCAUUCUUACUGGGAUGUGGCAUCUGCUAAUUUCAAGCAUGCCAUUGGUCUUUCCUGUGAACUGGUAGUGGAACACAUUCAAAGUUUCAUUCACUCAGACAUUGGCUACGAGAAUAUGAUUAAUACAAUGCUAAAAGAUCUCUUCAAGUUGUUGGUAGCCUGUGUGGCAGAACCUACAGAAACAAUCUCCAGAGUUGGCUGCUCAUGUAUCAGGUACGUCCUCGUGACAGCAGGACCCGUUUUUACUGAAGAGAUGUGGAGGCUUGCAUGCUGUGCAUUACAGGACGCGUUCUCUGCGACUCUUGAGCCAGUAAAGAACCUAUUGGGCUAUUUCCACAGUGGUUCUGAAAGCUUUAGUGGCGAUGCCUGUGAAGUGAAGGUGGCGGCCCCAUCUCUCUCUCCCAGUGCCGAAGCUGAGUACUGGAGAAUCCGAGCCAUGGCACAACAGGUUUUCAUGUUAGACACCCAGUGCUCACCAAAGACCCCCAACAACAAGGAGGGAUUUGAACAUGCUCAGUCCUGUGUGCUUAUCAUCGAGCUGCCUGCUGACAAGAAACACAAUGGGCAUACCCAGAAAAGUAUCCCUUUCAGGACAAUAGUGGUGAGUCUGUUGUCGCAUCAAGUGCUGCUCCAGAAUUUAUAUGAUAUCUUGCUGGAAGAGUUUGUGAAGGGCCCCUCUCACGUGGAAGAGAAGACAACACAAGUACCAGAAACCAAACUGGCUGGUUUCCUCAGGUACAUUUCCAUGCAGAAUUUGGCUGUCAUCUUUGACUUACUGCUAGAUUCUUAUCGGACAGCCAGAGAGUUUGACACCCGACCUGGGUUGAAGUGUUUGCUGAAAAAAGUGUCUGGCAUUUGUGGAGCUGCCAACUUGUAUCGUCAGUCAGCAAUGAGCUUCAAUAUUUACUUCCAUGCCUUGGUCUGUGCUAUACUGACAAACCAGGAGAACAUCACCGCAGAGCAGGUGAAGAAGAUCCUAUUUGAGGAUGAUGAAAGAAGCACAGACUCCUCCCAGCAGUGCUCUUCAGAAGAUGAAGAUAUUUUUGAAGAAACUGCCCAAGUCAGCCCCCCAAGGGGGAAGGAGAAGAGACAGUGGAGGGCUAGAAUACCAUCUUUGAGUGUUCAGCCAGUGAGCAAUGCAGACUGGGCUUGGUUAAUCAAAAGGCUUCACAAGCUAUGCAUGGAACUCUGUAAUAACUAUAUCCAAAUGCAUCUGGAUUUGGAGAAUAAUGUGGAGGAACCUCCAGUUUUCAAAGGCGACCCUUUUUUCAUCCUACCAUCCUUUCAAUCUGAAACCUCCACCCCAUCAACCGGAGGGCAGUCUGGAAAAGAUACACCCUCAGAAGAUGACAGAAAUCAAAGUAGGGACCGCUUGAUAGACAAUCUAACGCCCAAGGGAGGGAGCGGAGAAAUGCUGCCACUACCACCAUUGAGCCCUAAAAUGGAGAAAAAGGACCAAGCCAGGAAAAAAGAAUGGUGGGAGAGCGCUGGCAACAAAAUCUACACCAUAGCCACUGAUAAAACUAUCUCUAAACUCAUGACGGAGUAUAAGAAAAGGAAGCAGCAACAAAACUUGACCUCUUUCACCAAAGACGUCAAAGUGGAAAAGAAGGGAGAGUUGUUGGGUUCGAGAGGGCAGGAUUCACCACUCCCCCAGCGACCGCAAGAUCUGGUGGACCAGGGCCAAAUGAGGCAUUCCUUCAGUGCUGGCCCAGAGAUCUUGAGGCAAGAGAAGAGGCCACGCUCAGGAUCUACAGUCAGCUCCCUGAAUAUAUCUGUGCGAGAUGCAGAGGCACAAAUACAGGCAUGGACCAACAUGGUGCUGACAGUUCUCAACCAGAUUCAGACCCUGCCUGACCAAACAUUCACAGCCCUCCAGCCAGCUGUGUUCCCCUGCAUCAGUCAGCUGACUUGUCACGUGACCGAUAUCCGUGUCCGUCAGGCUGUGAGAGAAUGGCUCGGAAGAGUGGGAAGGAUCUAUGAUAUCAUUGUGUAAAGGAAACAUGUUUCAUUAGCAAGGGGAGAAGGAAUCAAAGGCUUUUACAGGAGAAGGCAUUCUCAUGUGUACAGCCUGUCUGCUGUAGCUCGCUAGGAUCCCCACCAUUUGCAGCUAUAUUUAUCCCCACUGCCAGUACCACUUGUCCAAUUUGACUCAUAUGAACAAGAUCUGGCAGUGCUACUCUUCAGUUGGCCAGAGGAGGCCAGUGGUGGACUGAGUUCCCUGCUCCCUCAUGCUCCCAGCUGGUGCAGAGUUGACCAGCACACAGUCUGUGCGUGUAUUUGGUGUAAAACAAACAAAACCAAAAUCUUCAUUUCAAAAGAUGAACCUCAGCUAACAAGAAAAUGCUCAUUCUGCAAGGAAUUCCAUGCGAGUGGAACACCAUGUGGGUGCAGGGUUUCUCCUGUGCUGAUCUCCUAAGUUUCUGAUAGAAUCUCAGUGCUUUGGCAUACUCUGGGGGAAGAAAAGACUUCAAACAGACAGGAUAGUUCCAGUAAGUUUGAAUUGCUGGCUGAUAAAUAACCAGGGUAGGUGUAAUGGAGGGUCAUCUCUGUGUGUGGAAUCUUAACACAGUCCCUCUGCCAGAUGGACAAUGUCCACCUGGUGCUCCUUUCAUAAGUAGCCCCUGAUUGAUCGUACUUUUGGUUGUUCCUCUAUUGUACUUAAAUCUCUAUAAGUCUAUAUGUAAAAUUGUUAAAAUGUACCUCUACAUCUUAAGCCUCUCUGGGUAUGUCUAUACAGCCCAUGGCAGCAAGUCUCAGAGCCCGGUUUGACACUCAGGCUAUGCUAUGGUGCUAAAAACAACCAUGUAGAUGUUGUAGCUCAGGCUUUGAACCUCACUCCCCUCUUUAGGCUUCAGAGCCCAAGCAGCUAGGCAUCAAUUUUAGUGCUGUAGCAUGAGCUCUCUAGUGCAUAUUCGCGGUAUAUCACCUGUUGCCACAAGAGUUUCACCCAAUCACACCAGACCUGAAAUGAGCCCAUACAUACAUUGUAUUUAGGGUUGCCAGCCCUCCAGGAUUGGCCUGGAGUCUCCCAGAAUCUACAUAAAUCUCCCAUGACUAUUGAAAGCAAGCCAGGAGCUUAAUAGGCUAAUUUAAGAAAAUGACAUUACCUCAUUGGGGGCAGGGGGAGAUCUCCAGUCAGCAUUGGCAACCCUAGUUGUAUUGCUUAAAGGUGUCUUUUAGACAGCUAUUGAAAAUGCACAUCUAUCGAAUGGCCAAAAAAAAAAAAAAGUUGAUUGGGUUUCAUCUGUUGUUUGUUAAAUUUUGUGCACACACCUGUACCCAGCAUACAACAACUGAGUUAACACAUGCUCCAGCCUGGUAUGUGAGAGCUGACACCACAGAAUGUAUUGUUUUUUUUUCCCUUCUCUUGACAGCAUAGUGGGAAAUUAAGGCCAAAAUAUAUGAUUAAGUUAAAUUAGAUAUCUGAAAUUAACAGAAGAAAAUAACUUAAAAUCAGCUGCAUGAGCCAUGUGAGAAUUGCAGCAUAUUCUGUACAACUUGACUCUUAAUGGCAGCUGAGUCUGCACCGUCCCCCUGCCCUGUUCCAACCUGGCUGCAAUAUGUGGGCACAGUGGCAGCAUCCAUACAGAUGCAAUCUUAGGGCAAUAUUCUUUCCUCUGAACUAGUUCCUGUGCAUUGCUCAGGCAGCAUGUGACCAUUGCUUGCUAGCUGUGCAUUCCUUGACAGAGGAUCUCUAAGCUUGCAUGAAAUGAGAACAAAUGACUUCUGCUCCAGCCACCCUCCCCUCCCCACCCCACCCCACUAUUGGGUUUAUUUUGGCAGGGAUAGAGCACAGUUAUCUGCUGGCAUGUGGUUCCCCAGCAUCCUCUUGCCUCACACUGGGGCAGAUGGGCACACAUAGGGAGCUGUAACUGGCUCCCUCACUCCCACCAUCCCCAUGACUACAGUAGGGCAGGAAAUGGUUUGCCCAUCUCAUGAGAAUUUGAGCUUUUAAAAAAGUCUAAAUCGCAAAACUUUUCACUAACCAAAAAAAUGGACCUAUUUUUGCUUUGACUUCAACGUGGUUGGCUGGUUUGUUCUAUAAAUUGAGUGUUUAAAAAUUCAGGUUAUUCAGACCUGAAAAAUUGAACUUUUUUUUUUUGAGAGACUUUUUUUUAAAAACAAAGACAUUGACACGCACAAUUAUUUUCCCAGAAACACUUUUGGCCUUAAUCUCAAUGAAUGGGCAUUUUUGUAUGAAAAAUGUUUAAUUGAAAAAAUUCCUGAUCAGCCCUAGCCCCUACCCACCUGCAAAGUUCUGCUCAUAAUAAAAGAGAGAGAGGCAUCCUUCAUUUUUUUACUUUUGUUGUAUGAAGCCAAACUCCUGCAUCUAAUUGGCUACAUCACUGCUUUUUUAAGCCUUUUUUUUUUUAAAUGCAACAAUAUAAAGUGCCCACUCUCCCCACCAGUGCCUAAGGUUUUAAGAGGCCAUUAACAAGUGGGUGUACAAUAUUGCUGGCAUUUAAAAAAAAAUUAAAAUUAGGGAUUUUUUUUUCUUGCAACUACUGUUAAAAGGGUAUGUCUAGCCCACUACGACAGGUCUUUAAAACAGGCCCAGUCUAACUGCCUCACUUUGCCGUUGGUGAUGUUUUAACAUUUUAUGUAAACAACAACAACCACAAGCAUGAUGAUUUCAUGAAUAAUUUGUGUAGAAAGCUUGAUGAGGCACAAUGAACUCCAGGGAAAAGCAAACUCAUAGGGGCUAAUUCUCAGUUAUGUUAAGGCCCAGUUAGGUUUAUAUAGGGAAGAAAUGCCCCCCCCAACUGUAGCCCCUCUGGAACUUCUCCAACCAAUGUAGAGGUGAUAUAACAGCUCUCCCCCUAUCCUCCUCUCAGCCCUCUGGUGUGAGGGGGAGGGGCAGGAUCAGGGACAUAUCUGGAUAGCACAGUGCUAUGGCCACUUUCUGCUUCGCAGGGCCUGAUGGAACAGAGUGCAAGUUAGAGCACUGGUGAGGAUUUUUUUUAUACCAGGGCUUCAGCAUGCUACUGCAAAACCCUAAAAUAUGGGGAGUAUAAAAGUGGUUUAAAGCUACCAUUACCCUUCCCCCCACACUUCCGAUCCAAGUAACAGAGGGCUUUUCCACACAGCAAGUUACUGCACAGAAAGCCAGGAUGUGAGUCUACACCACACACUAGCUUGCUACGCUGUCUGUGUUUUUCCUAUCGGCUUGCAAGCCAGGGUGUGAUGCUACAGCCCUCCCUGCUUACAGUAAAUUGUAUGAUUAAAGAGAGAGAGAGAAGGUGGGUGAGGUACACCUCUACCUUGAUAUAACACUGUCCUUCGGAGCCAAAAAAUCU